rnacentral:rRNA from 1 species
AUUGAACGCUGGCGGCAUGCCUUACACAUGCAAGUCGAACGGUAACGGGCCUUCGGGUGCCGACGAGUGGCGAACGGGUGAGUAAUGCAUCGGAACGUACCUUUCAGUGGGGGAUAACGUAGCGAAAGUUACGCUAAUACCGCAUAUUCUGUGAGCAGGAAAGCAGGGGAUCGCAAGACCUUGCGCUGAUUGAGCGGCCGAUGUCAGAUUAGCUAGUUGGUGAGGUAAAGGCUCACCAAGGCGACGAUCUGUAGCGGGUCUGAGAGGAUGAUCCGCCACACUGGAACUGAGACACGGUCCAGACUCCUACGGGAGGCAGCAGUGGGGGAAUUUUGGACAAUGGGAGCAACCCUGAUCCAGCCAUGCCGCGUGAGUGAAGAAGGCC